GCCGAGAUGGCGAAAUUGGUAGACGCGCCAGCUUCAGGUGCUGGUGGGGGUAACCCCGUGAAGGUUCAAGUCCUUUUCUCGGCA
rnacentral:tRNA from 1 species